GGUCAGUCUGGGUCAGGCCGCGACACAACACACAGGCACGCCGCCACACCAAAGCUUACAUUUCAUACACCCGCUACACUUUUCUCCACCGUCAGUCAGCUUCUUACACCUUCCCUACUCCCAUCCUGCAAGUAUUGCUAACCGCUCGAGACUUGGUAAAGCAUCAUCGCCUGAUCGCUAGAAGAAAAUUACCGAAAUAUUGUUUUUAAUUCAAAUAACUCGACUGAGUCGCUUUGUUCAAUAGUUUUGCCGAAAAUUGUAGAUUCAGAAAUUACACCAUUUCAGUCAACAUAUAACUUGAUAGCGCAUUGCUGAUUGCAAACUACUGGCAUCAGUGUGUAAGAGUUGAGAUGGUUUACCACCACAAAGCGCCACAAGUUGUGUACAAGACGUCUCGCCCCGCCAGUGUGAAAUAGCAACAACAAAGUUUCGGUGACGACGUGAACCAGCGAGUCACGAGCUACAGCGUCGGUAAAUUAUCCAGCUACAGGAAGCGGACCUUAUUUAAGAAAACUUUGUGACUUAUUGUCUUCACGACGAAAUAUAAAUAUUUGUGAAUAUUUAUCUCUGAGUGAGAGUCACGUGUGCAGCAUGCUGGUGCGUGGUGGAGACACGCGAGCACACUGUACCAUGAAGCAGAGCCGCUGAUGAAUAUUCUCCGGUCAUUCGGCCACCCGUAGCAAUGCUGUGUGCCUGGAGGAGCGCGGUCACUUUGGAGGAGUGGGGGCUUACCAAACGUCAGCUGUGUAACGAGUCACACUGAGGCGUGGCGGCUGGGGUAGGCUGUCCCGCCCGCCCGCCCGCCCGCCCAUCAUGAACUACAAUUUUACUCUAGAGAUCCUAAACACGUCUUGGAUCUUCAAUGACUAUGAAUUUGAUUUCUCCCCAAAGAAGCCUCCAGUGGUUGACAUCCCAGCAAAUCACAAUGUGAGUAUUAAUGUUACGCCCACAACCAGCGACGACCAGGUGGAGGUGGUACCGGAGGGCGAGGCAGAGGAAUGGAUGCUGGAGCUGGUGGUGAAAUCUGUCAUUCUGGCCAUCAUCGUUGUUCUCACCAUCGGCGGCAACGUGCUGGUUCUGUUGGCCGUGUUCAUGUCCCGUAACUUGCGCUCCUCCACCCACUACCUGAUCGUUAACCUGGCGGUGGCUGACCUGCUCCUCGGCACCACCGUCCUGCCCUUCAGCGCCACGCUGGAGGUGUCAGGGAAAUGGUACUUUGGCCAGGUAUUCUGCGAGGUGUGGGCGACCGCCGAUGUCCUGUGCUGCACGGCUUCCAUCUGGUCGCUGUGCGUGAUUUCACUAGAUCGUUACAUCGGGGUGACACGACCGCUGGCGUACUCCAGCAUCAUGACGGAGCGACGGAUGUGUGUGCUGAUCGUGGCCGUGUGGGCGCUGUCCAUCGCCAUCUCUAUCGGGCCUGCCUUUGGGUGGAAGACACCGCCAGACCCUGACCCCACCGUGUGCACCGUCAACCAGGAGCUGGGUUACGUGCUCUUCUCCGUCACUGGAUCGUUCUACCUGCCCAGCUUGUUUAUCCUGAUCUUGUACUGGCGGAUCUACAGAGCAGCAAUUCAACAGACAAAGUUCCUGGAGAGCGGCAUCAAGACCACCAAGACAUCCGUGACGCUCAGAGUACAUCGGGGCGGCGACACGCGCCUCACCCUGAGGGCGCACCGCGGAGGUAUGGGCGUGGGCCUGGCGGCUGGCAUGGCAGCCGGUCUGGCCACUGGUGUGGGAGGCCUCAACGGACACUGUUUAGUAAAUGGUGACUUAAAACCUCCUGAAAAAGAAGAAAAUCCUGGUCUGAGAGUUAAUGAAGGGAAGAAGACCAUGUCAAGGCUGAUGCCGCCCUCCCCUAACCUGGGACUGCCCGUCACGUCCUUCACCUGGCAGGGCAGGCGACGCAGCGCAAGGAACCCUCGGGAUCAAAGUGGAGAGGCCGCUACCUCAAAUCUGGAGACAUCACCCUCUGCCUCACCCGAGCGCCGGCUAACGGGUUCCACGGGUGGCAAGAUGGCAAAAUUCAGACGCCAAAAGAAGGCGGCCAAGACUCUAGGCAUCGUGGUGGGCGUGUUUCUCCUGUGCUGGUUCCCGUUCUUCUUCAUCCUACCGCUGGACUCGCUGUGUGGCAGCUGCAGGAUCUCAGAGACGCUGUUCGCCACGUUCUUCUGGCUGGGCUACUUCAACUCCUGCCUCAACCCCUUCAUCUACGCCUGCACGUCGCGCGAAUUCAAGCGAGCCUUCAAGCGGAUACUGUGUCGCGGGAGGGGGCGGGGGCGGCGCUCCCUCAACCACGCCACCUUCUACUCCGCCAUCUGGAGGAGAGACACUGGGGGGCUCAGCCCUAACCCUUCCAGCCGUGGGAUCGAGGGGUUGCUGGCCAACACCAUGCCUCUGGCUGACCCCUGCGGAGCCGUGUGGAAGGCUCCAAAGGCCCUUGAAGACCCGGGGUGCGAGUGUGUCUCCGUGGCCUCUAUAAUAAACUGACCAGCAGCAGCUCUCCGUCACCAAGACUCCGCCAGCCAAGCUUCAGCCAUGUGCCCAUGGGGAGAGUAUAGUGCUGCGCUCACAGCUGACGAUACACUUGUUCUGCUUGGAGUUUCGCUGUAAUGUUGGUGUAGAAGUUUAUUUCAGUUCCACUCAGGGGAGGGCGGGCUUACCAGGGGAGUGGGUAUCAGGGAUCCCGACUCAAGAAAGCGAGGCGUUUGUGUGGCCGUUGGCUCACACUCAGCGCCCGUGACCGUGACAGCGCGAUCGUACCUUAUAGUAGAGAAAUCUUAGUCCUCAAUGUCUUAGAGAAGUCAGAGGAUGAAGCCAGAGGAAACAGGAGAAGGGGAAACUAUUCUUAUCAUUAUUCUAUCAUUUGCAACGAUAUAUCUUUAGUAUGUAUCUUUAGUAUAUACAUUGAAAUGCUGCACACAAGAAAAUACAACACUCACUCAUGAAACAAUGCACACUGUGAGGCAAUGGAAACAACAUCUGUAUUCAAGGCAGGCGUCUCUCUCUCUCUCUCUCUCUCUCUCUCUCUCUCUCUCUCUCUCUCUCUCUCUCUCUCUCUCGAAAGUUUGGGUGCGAGUUAAUGUGAGAGAGGAAGACAUUAUAUCGUUAUUAGCAUAUUUAAUGAUCUAGAAUGGCAAGUUUUUUUUUUUUCCCGUCAGAUAAUUUCAUUUUGGGGCUUUUGCUUUUGUUACUUGUUAGGAGGGACGAGCACCAGCCGAAACUGAAGACUAAUGAACACAGACAGACACACACACACACACACACACACACACACACACACACACACACACACACACACACACAGCCAAUUUAAGAGCCAUUUUUUUUUUUCUCCUUACCAAAUGAGGCUUAUCAUUAACCACAUUAAUAUACACGAGGUAGUGUUUUGCAGAUGUAGCACUGUAAUUCUAUCAAAAUUUCCUCCUCUCCUGGCCUCUAUAGAUGUAUUUUUAUAUAUCACUAGACAACGUAACAUUACGAUACCUAACUGUCUUCAGUGUAACCUUGCCGGUGUACACUUGUAUGCGUCUCUCUCUCUCUGUGCGUAUAUAUGCCGUGUGUUUCCUUCAGCUGCCCAUCGCCACAGCGCGUGCAGGACAUCACAGUGUAUACAUCUCUUGGUGAGGGGGAGUCCCUGUGUAUUGGACGCAAGUCACGGGGAGACCAAGAGGAUUACCUACUUGUGUGUGUGUGUGUGUGUGUGUGUGUGUGCAAGCUCUGCAUCUGACUACGUGGAAAUAUGUCUAGAUGCCUUUUCCAUACACAGUUGUGAUUCUUUCCUCAUAUAUACACCAUUCUCUACAAAUUCUGGGUUCCUAGACUACUGUUCUUGUUCCUAUAGCGAUAUUUAAAGGCAUUUUUAAGUGGUGUGGAGCCACAUUUAUGUGCAACGCUAAGGUUCCUACUCUCAAAUGUUUCGGUGUCGUAUCUUGAUAACAUAACAGAUUUUUGUGGAAGAUAUUGCAGUUUUCAAGGAUGUUUUUUUUUCAUGAUUCUGGUGAUACUUUAGUAAGGCUACUGCACCAUCAGUAUAGAAAGACAUCAUCAUCAGAGUCCAAUUAAUCAUCUCUGUGGUCUUUGAAAAUAGUCUUCUUCAAAACCCGAAGCGUUAGGAAUACGAGCUUAAUGAAACGGUGCUAACCUCUCUUUAAGUAGUGGGCGCCACGAGGUCUUGAUGACUGAUACACCAGUUGCUUCACUCAUUACCCAUCGGAGGCCCUGGCUGGCAUGGUAAUGUUGGACUAGUAUACCACAGUGAUACAGAUCAACGGGUACAUAUUAUCACGACCAUCAUACGAGAAACUCCAGUACAAGCGAAGGUGAUGUGUCGAUGCCACGUAACGCCCUUUCAUUGGAACAUACUUUGAAAUACUUCGUGUCUCAUCUCAGAGGACCCAGGCCGGAAUGACGUGGAGAGGCACCGCGGCUCAUCCCCAAACACCACAAGCUUGGGCCAAGUCACGCACAAGGCUUUGAGGUGAUACACACGCUCA
rnacentral:misc_RNA from 1 species